rnacentral:lncRNA from 1 species
AGAGAGAAAGGAAAAGAAAGAAAGAAAUACAGAGAGAAAGAGAGAGAAAGAAAGAAAGAGAAGAAAGAGAAGAAAGAAACAAAGAAAGAAAGAAAGAAAGAAAGAAAGAAAGAAAGAAAGAAAGAAAGAAAGAAAGAAAGAAAGAAAGAAAGAAAGAAAGGAAGGAAGGAAGGAAGAAAGACUGAGCACUUUAACCUCUCUCAAGGCACAGGGUCCAAGGGCUGGCUUGAAUUUUUUUCUUUCACUGACUUUUUAACCUGACCAAAGUGAAUUGGAGACAUUCAGCUAAAAGGUGCCACUUUAAUUAUAUAGCAGUAAGUGGGGAGGACUCACAUAGGAGAGGAAGGAAGGAAGGAAGGAAGGAAGGAAGGAAGGAAGGAAGGAAGGAAGGAAGGAAGGAAGGAAGGAAGGAAGGAAGGAAAAAAGAAGAAAGGAAGGAAAAAAAGGAAGGAAGGAAAAAAGGAAGGAAGGGAAGAAGGGAGGGAGAAAGGAAAAGAGAAAGGAAAAGAAAGAAAGAAAUACAGAGAGAAAGAGAGAGAGAGAAAGAAAGAAAGAAAGAAAGAAAGAAAGAAAGAAAGAAAGAAAGAAAGAAAGAAAGAAAAAAGAAAGAAAGACUGAGCACUUUAACCUCUCUCAAGGCACAGGGUCCAAGGGCUGGCUUGAAUUUUUUUCUUUCACUGACUUUUUAACCUGACCAAAGUGAAUUGGAGACAUUCAGCUAAAAGGUGCCACUUUAAUUAUAUAGCAGUAAGUGGGGAGGACUCACAUAGGAGAGGAUUUCUCCACCCUCCCCAACUUUCAGGGGAUCCACAUCCACCCUGGUACAACUCUAAAGGAUGCCAAUAUCCAGCAUCCCUGGAGUGGUGAUGGGCUAACAUGCUGAUUUUUCAUAUGCAAAAGCAAAUUUAGUUCCAUUUCAGUUCCCCCUCAAGGCCCUAAUUACUUUCCUUCUUUUUAACAUCGGGAAUAUCGUACAACAGAAGCAAACCAGUGCCAGUCCUUGGCCAAUCCUCCAUUAACCAAUCCUCUGUCAACAUUCCUAAGGUGAUUUCUUUGCCAGAGAAGUCACCAAGUGGUGACAUGCACAGUAUGUGCACCAUACACUGGUUUGCUCUCUAGUGAAUGAAUUUAACUGGCAGCUUCAGCAGGCAGGCAAUAAUCCCUCCCCAAAAAAAUGACUCCAGGUCAGGAAUACUGCUGUAACCACAACUUUUCCAAAACACACCAUCUGAAUAUCACAGCCAUAGAAAAGAAACAUAUUUUAUUUAAAGAAAGAGGUGCCAGAGGUCCCAUAGCUUUUGGGGGGGGAGGAACCAACAAACCAACUGUGUAAAGUACAUCACAGGUUAGAGUGGAGACCAUUACUCUGUUUUCAGCACUCUAGGUUGAUGUCAUCACUCACUGUGUAUUUCCAGUAUUGAAUUGCUUUCUUGAUCCCACCAAGACCAGAUUUAAUUUAAAGGACCAUGUUAAUUUUUUCAAAGGGAACAGGACAAUUGUACAUAAUGUAUACACACAUGCAAAAAUAAAAAAAUAAAAAACUCUGUAGACAUAUUAUUCCAGCAUAGCAGGACAAAAUCAAUCCAAAGUGUUGGACUGUCGGAGGUGAGUGUGUCUGUCUGUACUUCUUUGUGAAUACUGACUGUGUGCAGUCUAUUAGAUUUAAACCAUACAGUACAUUCUCUGUCCUAACGAUAGUAGUUCCUCCCAUUAAAAAAAAAAAACAAUCCUGCAAAUAACAAGACCCACAGAAGUGACUCUAGCUAUCUAAUUGUUCUGUUCUUUUAUACAGCAGCAAAAACGAGACUGUCCAUUUAUCAUGCGGCUGUGCUCCAAUGGCAUUUCCCAAUGAUGUUAGUGCACAAAUGCUUUCAAUUAGAAUGGAACUGCCAGGAUCCAAUGUAAAUGAAGAAUUUCUUGUAUCCUUACUGCAUGAGGUCAAUUUUUAAUAAAUUGUUGCAAAAUUUGUUUUUAUGAAUAAAAUAUAAAAAUCAGACUCUCUUUCUUAGCAUCUGGCUCUCCUCCCUUUCCUCCCUGCACUCAAGGUGAAGAAUUUUGAAGCUUACAUUCACACAGACCAUUAGAUGACAGUGUGGUCUAAUGUAAGGAGUCCAGACCAAAAAAUCAGAAGGCCUAGGCUGG